CAGCCAAACUUCUGGAGCACCUGAUGCGACCCGUCUCCGUGUGUUCGGGCUCUAAGAAGGUUUAGCUCACUGCUAGCUGAAACAUCUUGAUGUGUAGAGAAUAUUUAAUAAUGCUGGACAAACAAUUAAAGAUAUAAAAAAGCUAACAAUUACAGUCCAAAUGUCAGGUUUGGGGUCAUAAUUCUUUUGUUGUCUGGUUGUAUUAUACACAAUGAUUUUCUUUAAUGUAAAAAGCAUGAUGUUAGAUGAAUUUCACAUUAACAAUAGUUGACUGUGAUAUUUGUAGGCUAUCCAUCA